UACGUAGGGAGCAAGCGUUGUCCGGAAUCAUUGGGCGUAAAGCGCGCGUAGGCGGCCCUGUAAGUCCGUUGUGAAAGUCAAAGGCUCAACCUUUGAAAGCCGAUGGAUACUGCAGGGCUAGAGUCCGGAAGAGGCGAGUGGAAUUCCUGGUGUAGCGGUGAAAUGCGCAGAUAUCAGGAGGAACACCAAUUGCGAAGGCAGCUCACUGGGACGUAACUGACGCUGAGACGCGAAAGCGUGGGGAGCAAACAGG
rnacentral:rRNA from 1 species